rnacentral:lncRNA from 1 species
GAGGCUGUAUGCUGCUUUGCAGUAGGGAAGACAGAGGCACCCUAGAAGGGUGAACCUCACUCAGGGAGGGGAGUUAUAAACACAAGCAUCACAAGCCCCAAAGAUGAUAUAUCUUCCUUCAUCUCUACCCACUACCCAGGGGCAUUUCCUGGCUCUCCAGUUAAGGAGAGGGUGCAUCCCUCGUGAUUUUGUGCCUUCUGGGAUUUAUAGCCCCAAACAGUGACACCACCUAGGACCAACCAACCGUAGUGCCCUAAAGAUGAAUGCUACUCCGUCUUAGCCCCUGUGAAGCCUGCUUCAGUGACUCUGCGCUUCUGCCCUGGAUUGCUCUUGUUCAGAGAAGUAGGAAUACUGUGAAGGAAACAGUUCUCUACUAACCCAUUUGGAACCAUGAAGAAAUAAAUCCUGAUCCACCAACCUUGACCAGACAGCUGAAGGUUGUCCUCGUUUAGCACUGACCUUGUAGAGAUGGAUUGCAAUUGUAAGGAGUCAAUUUUGUUUUGUUUGUUUUCUUUCUUUCCUUCUGGGCACUUUGAGUUCAUAUUCAUCUAGGAGCAUUCUGGGAAUUGUAGGCCCAGUGCUAUUAGUAUCUGCUUUUUCCCCCUGCUUUUCUGGUCUAC